rnacentral:rRNA from 1 species
GAUGAACGCUGGCGGCGUGCCUAAUACAUGCAAGUCGAACGAAACUUCUUUAUCACCGAGUGCUUGCACUCACCGAUACAGAGUUGAGUGGCGAACGGGUGAGUAACACGUGGGCAACCUGCCCAAAAGAGGGGGAUAACACUUGGAAACAGGUGCUAAUACCGCAUAACCAUAGUUACCGCAUGGUAACUAUGUAAAAGGUGGCUAUACUACCGCUUUUGGAUGGGCCCGCGGCGCAUUAGCUAGUUGGUAGGGUAAAGGCUUACCAAGGCAAUGAUGCGUAGCCGAAUUGAGAGGUUGAUCGGCCACAUUGGGACUGAGACACGGCCCAGACUCCUACGGGAGGCAGCAGUAGGGAAGCGACCAAAAUGGGCGAAAGCCUGAUGGAGCAACGCCGCGUGGGUGAAGAAGGUCUGCGGAUCGUAAAACCCUGUUGUUAGAGAAGAAAGUGCGUGAGAGUAACUGUUCGCGUUUCGACGGAAUCUAACCAGAAGGCCACGGCUAACUACGU